rnacentral:lncRNA from 1 species
UAAAUAGACCGGCACGAAGGCACGGCACAGGCAGAGAUAUAAUAGAGACAGAUCAUGUAUUAAACGAGAUCGGAGAUGUAUGACAUGUAUAGACGACUAUGAUCAAGAAUCAUCAACAUACAAGGGUAUGAGAAAAGAACAAGGGUUUCGUCGACGUCGCGAAGGGCGUCGACUAAGUGCAAAAAGGUCGACCUUGACGAACGCGAGGAAGGUGGCGGAGGCCUCCUGCUGCCUGGAGCACGACACGGUGGCGGAGCGAGGCCAACGGACUGAGUAGCCUGGCUGUGACGUCACGGACGAUGAGAACGGAGCGAUGCGUCGUGGUUCCUGGUGACACGCCCCUGCGGCUUGACCAAAGGUGACAUGGGCCCCUGCGUUAGUGAAAGCAGUGGCGCGAAGGCCGACUGUUAACCAAGAACCACGGCAUGGUCUUCAGAAUGGAAUGGAAGGUAUGGCCUUGGUUGGGAGCUCACCGGCAGAGGAAUGGAGCCAUAGCGAGAUACUGGGUGCUCCUGCUGCUGUCCUUGGGUGCGAUGCAGGGGCUCGGCUUGCAGCGUCGAUGGAGACCGGGCACGGGCUCGAGGGCUCGAAGGCGAGGUCGGGGCCGUGGACGCCGAACGGGGUCGCGGUCACCACGGCCGCGGCGUCGCGACGGCGGGUGCGCGGGGACGGGGCUCGGCUCCGCGGGGCGUCCACGCGGCCGGCCAGGUCGGUGUCACAGAGGAUGCCGAGGUCGAGGGCGAGGACGUCGUUGUCAACAGGCUCGACGAAGAGGAAGGGGCGCGGCCGGGGCGGUGGCGCGGGGCGAAGCUUGACGUGGCAGGGUGGAGCUCGGUGCAGAGCGCCGCCGUGGGCAGCACGGCGUCGUGGACGAGGAGCUUGACGCGGCGGGCGGCUCCGGCGCUUGGUGAACUCGACGUCGGGGCGUCCACGGGCUCCGGGGGCGAGGUGCUCGGCGAAGUGGCUCGCACUGGUGCCCGGCGCGCGGCAUCGGUGGCUCUGUCGAUGGCGUCGCGGGGUCGAGGGCGAGGGCGCACGGCAUCCUGGGCGCGACGAGGUCGAGGGCGCGGACGCGUCGGGCGAGGUCGGUGAGGACGAGGCGGGGCGUCGCGACGGCGGCUCGGCGGGCAGCAAGGGAAGAGGAGACGGGGUGGCAGCGUCAAGGGAGAGCAGAAGGCGGCGUCGGCGAUUUAUAGGCGUCGAGACUAGGGCUCCUAGGGUAGGGCGUCGAUCCUCGACGUCCGUGUCCGCAGCCGGACACGCGGCGCGGAUCAAGCGGGUGGGCACGGACGCCUAGGGCGCGAGGGGCUCGUGCGGGCGCUUGUCCAUGGCGGCGGCGUCGGGGAAGGCUGGGGGCGCGCGGCUUCCUUCGCUAGGGUUGGGGCGCAGGGGAGGCUCGCGGCUGGGCCUUGGCUGCUGCGCGGGCCGAGUUCUGGGCCGCAGAGGGGAAGGGAGGCCAAGCUGGGCUGACCGGCUGCUACGCAGGGGAGAAGGGAGGGAGGUGGGCCGACGCUGCGAGUUGGGCCAGGGCGAGGUCAGGCUGGGUCGCGCGCGCGGGUUGGCGCUGGGUCACGGGCCGGGAUGGCCAGCUAGGCUGCGCGCAGGGGCAGAGGGGAAGGGAACCUAGGCUGGGCCGAGGGAAGGAGGAAGAGGAAGUCAGGGGAAAAGAAAAGAAUUGGCCCAUGAAAGGAGAAGGGUUUUCCAUUUACGAAAUUGACUCAAGGGCUUUGAGGGAAAAUUAAAAAGGAUAUGUAGGGCAUUCGAGAGAGAACUCAAAAAGAGAUUGAGAUGGGUUUCCAUGAACUUAAGAUAGAUUUAGCGGUGGAGAUUUAGUGAUGAGAUCAACGAGAGAAAAUGUUUGAGAAGAGAAUUUUGAAAAAGAGUUCAAAAAGGAUUAAAGGAGUUUGAGACGUACUCCAACCGAAAGAUUGAGAAGGGAUUCGCUUCACCCUUGAGAUAGGCUCAACGGAGAUUGGGGAGUACUUGCUACAGAUUUGUGCACUCCAAAAGAAACUCAAAACCCUAAACAAGACUAAACUCCAAACCGACUCACGAACAAAGGCACUCACCUAGAAACAAAUCUAUAUGUAUGCCACGAUUUGUUAGC